rnacentral:rRNA from 1 species
UAGGGAAUCUUCCACAAUGGACGCAAGUCUGAUGGAGCAACGCCGCGUGAGUGAAGAAGGUUUUCGGAUCGUAAAGCUCUGUUGUUGGUGAAGAAGGAUAGAGGUAGUAACUGGCCUUUAUUUGACGGUAAUCAACCAGAAAGUCACGGCUAACUACGUGCCAGCAGCCGCGGUAAUACGAAGUGGGCAAGCGUUGUCCGGAUUUAUUGGGCGUAAAGCGAGCGCAGGCGGAAGAAUAAGUCUGAUGUGAAAGCCCUCGGCUUAACCGAGGAACUGCAUCGGAAACUGUUUUUCUUGAGUGCAGAAGAGGAGAGUGGAAUUCCAUGUGUAGCGGUGGAAUGCGUAGAUAUAUGGAAGAACACCAGUGGCGAAGGCGACUCUCUGGUCUGCAACUGACGCUGAGGCUCGAAAGCAUGGGUAGCGAACAGG